AAAACUUUCAACAACGGAUCUCUUGGUUCGGGCAUCGAUGAAGAACGCAGCGAAAUGCGAUACGUAAUGUGAAUUGCAGAAUUCAGUGAAUCAUCGAAUCUUUGAACGCACAUU
rnacentral:rRNA from 1 species